GACAGAGGUGCCGAGCGUUAGGCGGAAUCACUGGGCUUAAAGCGUGUGUAGGCGGGUCGUUAAGUGCCUUGUGAAAUCCCCCGGCUCAACCGGGGAACGGCUGGGCAUACUGGCGACCUUGAGCCACCUAGGGGCGAGCGGAACAAGCGGUGGAGCGGUGAAAUGCGUAGAUAUCAUUUGGAACGCCAAUGGUGAAAACAACUCGCUGGGGGUGUGCUGACGCUGAGACACGAAAGCCAGGGGAGCGAACGGG
rnacentral:rRNA from 1 species